CAGCAGCCACGGUAAUACGAAGGGGGCUAGCGUUGUUCGGAUUUACUGGGCGUAAAGCGCACGUAGGCGGACUUUUAAGUCAGGGGUGAAAUCCCGGGGCUCAACCCCGGAACUGCCUUUGAUACUGGAAGUCUUGAGUAUGGUAGAGGUGAGUGGAAUUCCGAGUGUAGAGGUGAAAUUCGUAGAUAUUCGGAGGAACACCAGUGGCGAAGGCGGCCAUCUGGGACAACACUGACGCUGAGGCACGAAAGCGUGGGGAGCAAACAGGAUUAGAGACCCCCGUAGUCCCUGUCUCUUAUAC
rnacentral:rRNA from 1 species